rnacentral:misc_RNA from 1 species
GAUGAAGAACGCAGCGAAAUGCGAUACGUAAUGUGAAUUGCAGAAUUCAGUGAAUCAUCGAGUCUUUGAACGCACAUUGCGCCCUCUGGUAUUCCGGAGGGCAUGCCUGUCCGAGCGUCAUUGCUGCCCUCAAGCACGGCUUGUGUGUUGGGCUCCGUCCCCCGAUCCCGGGGGACGGGCCCGAAAGGCAGCGGCGGCACCGCGUCCGGUCCUCGAGCGUAUGGGGCUUUGUCACCCGCUCUGUAGGCCCGGCCGGCGCUUGCCGAUCAACCAAAUUUUUAUCCAGGUUGACCUCGGAUCAGGUAGGGAUACCCGCUAAACUUAAGCAUAUCAAUAAGCGGAGGA